UACGGGGGGGGCAAGCGUUGUUCGGAAUUACUGGGCGUAAAGGGCUCGUAGGCGGCCAACUAAGUCAGACGUGAAAUCCCCAGGCUCAACCUGGGAACUGCGUCUGAUACUGGAUGGCUUGAAUUCGGGAGAGGGAUGCAGAAUUCCAGGUGUAGCGGUGAAAUGCGUAGAUAUCUGGAGGAAUACCGGUGGCGAAGGCGGCAUCCUGGACCGGUAUUGACGCUGAGGCGCGAAAGCUAGGGGAGCAAACGGG
rnacentral:rRNA from 1 species